GCCAACUACGUGCCAGCAGCCGCGGUAAUACGUAGGGGGCGAGCGUUGUCCGGAAUUAUUGGGCGUAAAGCGCGUGUAGGCGGCCCCGUAAGUCGGAUGUGAAAUCCCAGGGCUCAACCCUGGAACUGCAUCCGAUACUGCGGGGCUUGAGGUAGGUAGAGGAAGGUGGAAUUUCCGGUGUAGCGGUGGAAUGCGCAGAUAUCGGAAGGAACACCGAUGGCGAAGGCAGCCUUCUGGGCCUCACCUGACGCUGAGACGCGAAAGCAUGGGUAGCAAACAGGAUUAGAUACCCUUGUAGUC
rnacentral:rRNA from 1 species